UCUAGGGCACAACAAGGUUUGGGAUCGCAACGCCCUCCUAGCCGAUUGACCACCGUCAAUCCUCCUCCUGGAUCCGAUCACUGGUGUAUGCUCUGUAUCUCCCCACCAGAUGGAUUGAAUCGGGUGAUCAACCUUGAGGAAGCAUUGGAUCAAUAUGUGGUGGACCUUCCUUGUUGCCGACCAUUGCCAGUUCUACUUCUUCAAGCUGUGCAAGCCUCGGGUGAAGAGGUAGCCUGUAGAUGGUUGGUGUCGCUCGGAGUAUCCUGUCUGCCGGGUCCUACGUCAC